GAGGGUAUAGCUCAGUGGUAGAGUGCAUGCCUAGCAUGCACGAGGUCCUGGGCUCAAUCUCUGGUACCUCCA
rnacentral:tRNA from 1 species